CGGAGAGCUUCAGGCGGUCGCUCCGGGAGGCCGCAAGGCCGGCCCGGAGAGGAAAGUCCGAACUCCGACAGGUAGCAUGCUCGCUAACGGCGAGGCGCGGCGACGCGACGGACAGUGCAACAGAAAAGAUACCGCCGGCUCUCCGCGAGGAGGGACGGUAAGGGUGAAAUGGUGCGGUAAGAGCGCACCGCUCCGGCGGCGACGCCGGGGGCACGGAAAACCCCAUGCGGAGCAAGACCAAAUAGGGGGACGGCUCGCGGGCCACCUGUCCCGCCUUCGGGCCUUCGGGUCCGGGGCCAGUUCCCGGGUAGGUUGCUGGAGGCCGGCGGCAACGCCGGUCCCAGAGGAAUGACCGCACCCCGGUGCUUCGGUGCCGGGAGACAGAAUUCGGCUUACGGAGCUCUCCGGCGU
rnacentral:RNase_P_RNA from 1 species